rnacentral:rRNA from 1 species
GAUGCUUUGGUGCCUUCGGGAACUGUGAGACAGGUGCUGCAUGGCUGUCGUCAGCUCGUGUUGUGAAAUGUUGGGUUAAGUCCCGCAACGAGCGCAACCCUUAUCCUUUGUUGCCAGCGGUCGGCCGGGAACUCAAAGGAGACUGCCAGUGAUAAACUGGAGGAAGGUGGGGAUGACGUCAAGUCAUCAUGCCCUUACGACCAGGCUACACAGCGUGCUACAAUGGCAUAUACAAAGAGAAGCGACCUCGCGAGAGCAAGCGGACCUCAUAAAGUAUGUCGUAGUCCGGAUUGGAGUCUGCAACUCGACUCC